ACCAAUCCCAUGGGCUUGAGCCGGCGAAGGUUCAUUCAAAUUACUGGCCUAUCAACUUUCGAUUGUAAGAUAAAAGGCUACACAGGUUUCAACGGGUAACGGAGAAUUAAGGUUCGGUUCCCGAAAAGGAACCUGAAAAACGGCUAACACAUUCAAAGAAAGCAGCAGGCGCCCAAAUUACCCAAUCCCGACACGGGGAGGUAGUGACAAUAAAUACUGAUACAGGGCUCUUUUGGGUCUUGUAAUUGGAAUGAGUACAAUUUAAAUCCCUUAACGAAGAACAAUUGGAGGGCAAGUCUG
rnacentral:rRNA from 1 species